CCGGGAGCACGCCCCGCACGUCCGACGGAGCGCACGCUACUGGGGACGUGAAUGCAGAUUUCGGCCGUGUACGGAAAGCCUCCAGUCCUGGCUCCCGUGCUACUCUGGCAUCGUCUAGCGAUCCUGGGCCAAAACACUCGUUCCUUCAAGCAUGUGGAAGAUGCAGUUCAUAGGAGGCAUAGUUAUUAUGGCUAUGCUCAGGACUUCCUUUAUCACACAGCAGGCAGGACCUGAAGGGACACUUGCACCAAGCUGGUGGCGUUUAUUAUGCGGAAGUACAGAAAGACAGGAGUAAUGGCUUUUCUCUGCAACGAGUUACAGAACAUGCACUGUGUAAGCUGGAUGACAUAAAGCUACAAUCUCAUGAGGACCGAAUCCAUGGGUUCUACGCCAUCGGUGUUCACAUCACGAAGCUGAUCAGCAAACUGGAUUGCUUUCUGCAGCCGCUCAACGCCCUCUGCAUCACGGAAAUCAACCAAGGCCAGGUGUUCCAAGUGAUCCAGC